GUUUCGUAUCAGCAGCAGUACUUCUGCGUUUGUUACACUUUCAGGAUUUGUCAUCAUCUCUAAAAUUCUCACACAUUUCAGUCAAGAAAAUUACAGAAAUAUAACCCUUUGUUUUUGUGGUGAUUGGACAUUUCUGUGUAUUUUUCCUUGUUUGGUGCUUGUGUUUUUUUUCUUUCAGAGACUGGGUGUGGCUUAUUGGCUGCUGGAGCUCUCUGCAAUCACUCACCUGUUCGUCAUCUGUAAUCACCGGCUGCAGCAUUUAUACCCUGGUUCAACUCUCCCAAGCUGCCUGAUUAUUUCUGCCUACACCAUGGCAGAUCGGCGUCUCAGUAGCCGUAGACUUUUUUGUGCUUUGGUUACCUGUCACUAAUUAUCCCUUGUCUUCUUUUUUCCCCAGUACCUCCAACCAUCGAGCUCCAGCGCCUCACCACCCAGCCUCUCAUUCAAGCCUCACCAGCCUUCAUCAGCCUCACUUCAAUAAACUGCUAACUGCUCACUCCCUUCUUAUUCCUGACACCAGUGUGUGCUGUCUCAUUUGAGCAGUCUCCUCCACAGAUAGUGAAGGAGAACACUGAGGUCCAGAUCACCUGCAGACAUGAUGAUAACGUCCGCUGAUGCUCUGGUAUCAGCAGAGAAACGACGGCCAGCCGCUGACCCUUAUUGGGUUUGAAAAUGGGAAAAGUACCCCAAGAUCGAGCGACAGGUGUGACGUUUCAGCAGUCUCAUCCCAGAAUAGUCAUCAACACAGCCAGGAUAGAAAUUGGAUGCAGCCAUAAUGAUGCCAACCUCUACGUGAUGCUCUGGUACCAGCAAACACAAAGCGGCCUGAUGAAUUUAAUCGGUGACAGCUACCUUAUCGGUGAACCCGACUAUGAGAAGAAGUUCAAGGAUCGGUUUGAGAUUACAAGAAAAGAUUUGACAACAGCAGCUCUGAUUAUUCCCAGUGUGACUCCAUCAGACUCAGCUGUGUAUUUCUGUGCUGCCAGUAACACAGUGAUGUGGUUUAAUAUCAGCCCCUCACUAAAACCCUCCUUUGUUUGUUUGCUCUGUGACAGCUGGUAGAAUCAGCACACACACAUCUACAUUACAGCUUAACAACAAGCUUUAAUUAAAUACAUCUCGUGUCAUUGUGUGGCUCUGAAUUUUGUAAUGAUAGUUACGUAAAGUUACUUUUGUACCAGGGCUGCAAACAAGGAUUGUCCUUAUCAGAGGCCCAAGUUCAAUCAAGUAUACAUUUUGUGCACACAACAUUAUAUCAUGCCAUUUUUUACUUUUUGGUACUUCAGGGGCUCCGUAGUUUUUAGUUCA